UGCGCCUGAUGAAUUGCAUGGAGCGAGCCCAUUAAAUAUACGUGGUGCAAGGAAGCUCUAUAGCAUGUCAGGAAUGAAUGGCAGAAGUUAGGGUUUCUUCACAUGAAAGGUGAAAGACGAGAUCGAAGGCACUGUGGAUGACUGAGGCACUGAGGCACCGAGACAGCGCCUUAGCGGCCAGUGACGCGUUGACCGCGGUGGAAAGUGGUUGUGUGGUGCGCGCAGUGGUAUAGUGCACGUGACUGUUUACUUAGCUGUCGAGACUCAUAAGAGUUACAUCCAUCAAAUCUUUGCAAGAACAUUACGAAGGACUACAUUCCUCGGUGGCCGGUGAUGUAUAUUUGAGACUAAGGAGACACGCCAUGAUCGGUCAACGUACAAUGUUGGCGUUCAUACGGGCAAGACACACCACCUCUCCCUCCCCCUCCUCCUCAUGCCUCCUGCUCCUGGCGCUCCUCCUGCUGGCAGCGCUGGCAGGGGAGGGGCAGGGGCGCCUCAUGGACACCUGCGAGAUACGGCCCCGCCAGGUGACCCUCAACCCUGACGCCCAGGCCUUCAUUGGCGUGGUGGUAAGCGCGUCACAGGCGGGCGAUGGCCUGUACGGGUGCGGGCAGUGGCGCGGCGCGGGCAUAGCAGCCUACAAUGCCCUCAGGUGGAGUCUGGCAAGGGCCAACCUGGACACCGGUGGUCUCGGCUCUAGGAUCGUCAGUGAUUCUUUCGUACCUGGCGUGAAGUUUGGCCUACAUGUGUACGAUUCCUGUGGGCGUGACUCGAGGGCGGCUGAGGGCGUGGGCGAGGUGUUCCCGGUGCUGCGUGAGGGGCCUUCAUCCGCCUCCUCGUGUCCCUCCGCCUCCUCCUCCAUCUCCUCCUCAUCCAACGACACCCUGCAGUCCCUGGGCGUGAUGGACCUGACGGGCGCCACAGCCACCCACCCCGGCCUGGCCUCCCUCCUCCGCCAGUACAAGGUGCCCGUGCUCCACCUGCCGCCGGACAAGCUGCUGCCACCCCUGCACAGAGGCCAGGCGCUAGUGGAGUUCCUCGGUCAACUGGGGUGGACCUCCGCCAGCCUGCUCACGGCCCAGGACCAGUACUCCCUCAGCGUCGCCAAGGUAGUGACAGAGGAGGCGCCUGCAAGAAACGUCUGUCUCAGCACUGUGGUGAAGGUCCCGUCCCUCACGCAGGACGAUCCCUCGCCCGACCCAGCCCAGGUGGAGCUGCAGUACCGCCACCUGGUGAGAACAGCGGUAGCCAGCGGGCGUGUGUCGGGCGUGGUGGUUGUGGCUACGGGACAAGUACUCCUUCAAAUUCUUCGAGCAGUGCAGGCAGAGAGCUCCAACACCCGCGGCUUGGUGUGGCUCCUGUCUGACUUGCCCGAAGAUGACCUGGACCUGGUGCGGGACAUCGCGCGUCUAGUCAAGGGGCUGCAGGUAGUGGGCACUGCGCCUCCUGCCUUUGAGGAGUUUGAGGAGCACUGGAGGACCCUUCAGGACGUCAAGCUGGAGCCCACCCCAGACAAUGAGUGGGUGUUGAGUUACCUGCAGCAGGAGAAGGGCUGUUCACUGGACCCUGAGCUGGUUGAUAAAGAAGAGAAUGGCACUGUCAAGCUUCCACCAGUGUGCCUGUCCUUCCGCAUGAAGGAGGAUGAACUCGAUGUCCUGGCACGUAGCCGAGCUGUCCUGGCGCCAGUCCAUGGCCUCUUCACCAUCCUCACUGCUCUCAAGAAUGCAUGGCGACUCAAGUGCAGGAACAGACGAGGUGCUUGCCCCAAACUUCAGAAAAUGAGUCAUGAGGAGCUCCUAUCAGACUACCUGGGUCCCCUGAGGUUCCAGCACAAUGGGCCAGGGAGCCGCAGCAUGAGGGGCCUGACAGGGGGAAAGCUACGGAGUGAUAGUACCAGCAGACUCUCUGGGUCUGUGGUUGGCCUGUAUGGCAUCUUACCUGAGAGAGGCAACAACACAGUGUCUGUGAGACAGGUUAUGUCAUUUGACAACUCCACAGUGGAUGUACUUUCUCCUGCCCUCCUGCCACGAGCCUCCACCUGUCCCAAAGGCACCUGUGAAACUUGCCUCACCCUUUCCAGUGACUUCAUGGAACAGCAGAAUGUGACAGUGGUCUCAGAGGCAGAGCAGCACAUCUUCAUGCCAUCAGUGGAUCAUGUGGUGGUGGUGGGUCUCUUUCCCAUCCAUGAACCCUCCCCUGAUGGUGCAGAUUGUAGUGUGAAAGUGAAUGGAGCCACCCUGCAGGAAGUGGAGGCCUUCCUGUGGGCUGUGGAUCAAAUCAACCAGCACGCCCAGCUGCUGCCCUCCACCUCUCUCGGGGCACUUGUCCUGGAUACCUGCGGCUCAAGGAUCCGCACCAUGAACCAAGUCACAAGCUUGGUCAAGAGUUCACUGCCAGGAAUCAACAUAAAUCUUGAUGACGUGCGUGUACUGGUGACCUCACUUGACCCAGAGACAGCAAGAGUGGCAGGGGAGAUGCUGUCCUCUCUGAAUGUGACCUCCAUCAACAUAGGUCCAUCACAGGCACACUCCCCUUACACCCUGCAGAUGAGUCCCCCAAUCAACAUGGAAGCAGAGGCCAUGGUGCAGAUACUACGUUUCCUUGGCUGGGAUUAUGUGUCACUGGUUGUGUCAUCUGAAGACACAGAAAACGUGGCUGGUGCUGAGGCAUUCCGCACUGUGGCCCAGGCAUCCAGGAUAUGUGUGGCUCUUGAUCUCAAGAUGGCCCCUCUUGAUCCCCAGGCUGCUGCCAUCCUUGCUGACCAGAUGGUGGAGCAACUGAUAGAAAAAGCAGCAGGUGGUGCUCGGGGCCUUGCCCUCUUCCUGACCCUUGAGGACACACGAGUGUUGCUCCGGGCAGUGCAGCGUGCAGUAGUGACCAGCCGACUCCUCAGACACCAGCUGGUCCUCCUCGCCCCCUCAACUUGGGGCAACAACAAGGAAAUGCUUCAAGAGUUUGAAGGUGACCUGGGUGGAGUGUUGGUGCUGAGAGAUGGUCAGAGGGACGUCAGGGAUUUCAUUGCUCACUACCGCCUGCUCACCCCUGAGAAGAAUACCCGCAACCCUUGGUUCACCCAGUACUGGCGGCAGGAGUUUGGAUGUGUGGGUGAGGACUGCCAUGAAGGAGUGCCACUACCUGUGGUGCCAUACAUCUCAAUGCCAUCAACUCCACGUGUGGUUCAGGCACUGUUCUCAUUUGGAGCAGCCCUCACCCAGCUGAUUGAGCACCUCUGUCCCCAACAUGAUGGAACUCUCUGUCCUGGUCUGCCUAAAUGGCGCCAGAGAACUGUCCUCAAUGAAUUUUUACGCAACACUGAGGUCUCACGUGUGGACAAGCCAUCUGAGUACUUCCAGUUUACGGAGAAUUUCCAUGGCAAUGCUCCCCUUGAAGUGUUGAGCCUUGUCCGCCGCCCCUCAUCCCAGCUGUCUCCCACCUAUGAAUAUGAGAAGGUGGGCAGGUAUGUGGACAGCCGCCUCACUCUCGGCAAUGCAAUGAUGGAGUACCACAAUGGUUCCUUCGCACGUAUGGACCAGAUGGCCUCCACCUGCCUCUCCAGCUGCUCCACCUGCCAACACCAGGCUUCAGACUACCUGUUGGUGGACUCCCCAGAUAAGCUGUACCUUGCAGUGACUCUCAGUGUGCACCAAAAGGGUGAGCGACCCUUGGAGUGUGGCAGCCUGGAUGGGGAUAAGGGAAUCCAGGGUGUUGAGUCAGUGUUGUGGGCUCUGGACCGCCUCAACAAUGACCCCAAAGUGCUGCCAGGAGUCACCCUCGGCGCCAUUGUGCUAGAUGCCUGCCGCAGCAAGGAGAAGAUCGUGAGGGACCUGACUAACUUCCUCACUGGACGCACCUCAGAGAGUGUGAGGAAGAAGGUGCCCUCAGUGGACACUAUCAUGGGAUUGGUGGCUACUGGGGAAGGAGAGGAUGUGCGGCAGGUGGUGGACGUCACACAGCCCUAUGCCAUCACUACCAUUGCCACACAGGCCACCGCCACUGCCUAUGCCAACACCCACCGCUUUCCCACUAUGCUGCGCCUUGCCCCUCCCAAUAGUGUGGUGGGGCGGGCCAUUGCUUCCCUGUUGCUGUACUGGCGGUGGGAGGUGUUCAGCAUUGUGUACUCAGAAAGCAACACUCAGACUGACAUUCAGAAGCAUCUGGUGAAGGCAACAGAGACCCAUGGACUGAAGCCAAUCAUGAAGGAGGCCAUCCCUCUCAAGGUGGAGGAAGGGGAAUACAUGCUGGCAGUGUGGCGGCGGCUGGCUGAGGCAGCAGCAGCAGGUGCCCGGGUGGUGGUGGCACUGCUGGAGCCUCACCAUGCUGGCCCCUUCCUCCAGACGGCUGCUGCUUUGCGUGCCCGCGGCCUCGUCCAUCAAGGCGACUUGGUGUUUAUCAUGGCAGAAUCCCCUUGGCCCUACAUCAACCAUGAGAGUGAAGCACUGGGCAUGAUGGUGGUGCGGCCCAUCAACAGCCAUGUGCCAGAGUUCCAGAGUUACUUCAAGAGCCUGUCCCUGGCUAACCAUACUGCCUACCCAUGGUUCCAUGAGUUCUGGGCACAGACUUUCCGCUGUCAGGGUGCAAGCUGCUUCACAGGGGCAGCACGCAAUCUCUCCAACUAUAAACUGCAGCAGGCAGAAGAGGUGGUCAACACAGCCAGUGCCAUCACUAUCCUUGGCCGUGCUCUGGAGAGGUGGCGGCGAGAGGCAUGUCCAGGACUGGCUAGUGGGGUGUGUGAGGAGCUGACAUCAGACUCACAAUUCCGAGACAAGCUCUUCAUGUACACACGUUCACUAACCAGCCAUGGGGUGGAUGGCCGGCCCAUAACCUUCACUGUGGAAGGUCACAACAGUGUUUCUGCCCUGCAGAUACUCAACUUCCGGCACAUGGAGAAUCGUGGGAGCUCUGGGCUGGUGCGGGUGGGGAUGUAUAGUGAGGGGGAGGGCCUGGCACUCAAUGGUUCGCUAGUGAUGACUUAUGAUGCAGAGGGACGGGCAAAAGGUAUGGCAGAAGUGCGGUCAAGAUGCCUUGAUGUGGAAAUAUGUGGAAGCACUGGAGGCACGGCAACCACCCGGGCACCUCGAAGGAAUACUCAGUACCUGCAGAUGUUCCCACACCAAAGGUUUGGCAUUAGUGGCCUUGUGCCUUACCACCAGCAAGGGCAGACAUUUUUCUCAUGUGGGUCAUUUGCAGGUGAAAGGAUCUUUCAGAAUGUAGCUGCAGUGGCAUAUGCACUUACCCGCAUCAACACCAAUGAUGCUGGGGUAGGUCUAGGUGCUGUGCUUUUUGAUUACUGUGAUCGCACUGAACGAGCAAGAGAGAGAUUCUUCAGCUUCUUCUCAGGUGAGGCUCAGGAAGAUGACAGCGGCCUACUGCUUGGGCCAGGUCACAUAGUGGCUUCAGUAUCUCUAGAUGAUGAUGCAGCAGAGGCUGUUUCCAACAUCCUGGCUGCUAAUCACAUCCCACACUUCAGCUCACCUGUUGGUGGUAUCCACCUUGGUGACCGCACUGAUGAGACCAUCUUAACUAGUGUGCCAUCACGCACUGCUGAGCUUCGAGCACUUCUGGCUGUAGCACGCAGCUUUGGAUGGACCUUCCUUAGUGUGGUGUAUGAUAAUGAUGAUGACGGGAGAUUCCUCGUGGAAACGUUCCGACAGAUGGCUUGGGCUGAAGAUGUGUGCCUUGGAGACUCCCUGGGGAUGCCUCAGCGGGUGUCUGAGGAAUAUGCGCGACAGGUGGUGGAAACUCUCGCUGCUGGGUGGAAACCCCAUGUUGUGGUGCUUCUGAUGGAUGCUGCUGACAACAUUCGCAUGGUUGUACAGGCAGCCGAACGACUUGGCCAUGCAGAACGCUUCACUUUCUUGGCGGGGCCUGCAUGGGGCAACAAGCCAGCUGUCACUGGGAACUUGGAUAGAGCAUCUGCUGGAGCCCUCACCCUCACCACUGAAACCUAUGACCUUCCAGACUUCCGUUCCUUUGUGGCCAACUUAACGCUGGAGUACCAUGCACCUAUUCCAGAUGAGUGGUUCGAAGAGUAUUUCCAAUACAAGUUCCAGUGCCGCCUGUCUGCUAGCAGUCGAGUCCAGCGACAGUUUGUGAGGGAGUGUCUCGGCACAGAGCACAUACAUGCUGAUGAGCUGGUGCAGGAUCCCUUUGUCUUCCACACAGUGCUGGCCAUCAAUGCUGUGGCUCAUGGUCUUGACAAUUACCUCACCCAACAUUGUGCUGAUGCUCAAACCAUUGAGGAGUGUGAAGUAGUCCAACCGGAGCUGUUGCUGGAAAUACAGCGACAGAGCAGAUUGACUCUCAACAACACUGCUAGUCAUGGUGAUGCAGAUGCUUAUGGGUACCACCUCUGGAACUAUCGCAAGUUGGGAGCUGAAUAUGGAUAUGUUAGUGCUGGUAGUUGGCAGAAUGGCUACUUACGUUUAGAGAAACCUGGCCUAGAGUUCAAAAUAGGAGGCUUCCCACCAGAUUCUAGCUGCCAAGGAGGGGCAUGUGUGGAGGUGUGUGCUCCCCAGUCACCAGUAUAUGCAGCCAUGGCCCUGCCUAAACCUCUUCCCAUUGACUUCAACUUCCAUACUGUGUAUGGCAUCACCACAGCUGUGCUUAGCCUGUUGGGAGUGGUGGCCUCACUGUCCUCCCUCAUCUACCUCAUGGCCACCUUUCCCCCUGCUGCUGGAGCUCCUGUGUUGGGAUGCCUUGUGCUCACUGGCUGCUUCAUGGUCUUUGCUGCAAACUUCGCCCUCAUCUUUCAGCCGACUGCAGGAACAUGUGCUGUGCGCAGAUUCCUGCCAGGUUUGGCCUAUGCUCUCAUAUAUGCUUCAUUGCUGGUAAAGGCACUCCAUGCCUAUCGUCUGGCCUCAGUUUCUGCCACUCGAGACAACAGCAGCAACAGUGACAGUGGUGGCAGCAGCGGAAAAAACCCCCUCUUGGCCAGGAUGUGUGGCCAGAUUGUGGUGACACUAGCAUUAGUGGUGGUCCAGCUGGUACUGGGCAUAGCCUGGCUUACCCUUUACCCUCCUGAGGUGGAUUUGUUGGCUGAUACCUGGUAUUGUUCCCCUGCAGAAGACUUUGAGGCAGAGUUGGUCACUUCUCUAGCCUAUGUGAUGGUGCUGCUGGCAGCUACAGCAGGCCUGUGCCUGGAAGCAUGGCACUCUGGUAUAGCCUCCAAGGAGACACGUUGGAUAUUAGUAGCAUCACUCUUCUCCAUUGUCAGCUGGUGUGUGUGGACAGUGGCUGCCACACAGGCACCACGCCACAUCAGAGAUCCAUCCAUGGUGAUAGGUAACCUAGUUUCAGCUUCUAUAGUGGUGGUGCUCCUGAUGGUGCGUCAGGUGCAUCUCUACAGCCAGUUCAGCCGUGAUGUGAAGGAGUUGGAGAUGCGGUCACACUACACAGCUGCCACUUCACUGUGCAAUGCUUCACUCAAUGCACAAAAGGUGCCCCCUGAUGGCAGUCCUCGUCUUCCUCCCGGCCUAGAUCUUGGUGGCCCUGGUAUUCCUACUCGCCAGUUUGUAGUGGUGGGGGACACCCUUCGCCUGGACCACCCCCGGGGGCCAGUGGUAGGGCGGAUGCUGGGACCACCCCGCCCUAAACCAAUGGUCUUUAAGCAGUCUGUUGACCUCAGCUACCUCCUGCCUCCAGGGGCUAGGAAAUGAUCCAGCCUGCCUUGGUCCAUCCCACACCGGCUCUUUAGGAGACCAGGAGGUGAGCUUCCGGACGGUGACUCUUCCCCCUGAGGUUCCUCAGAGUCGCUUGUCCUCCUGCCACUCCGCCACAACUUCCCGCCGCUCCCUCCGACUCUCCCUCUCUGAUGAACUCCCAGAUGACCUCCUCUUUGAGGCUUUUGAGUCAUCCGAAGAGGACUUCCCUAUUGAUGCACAACACCCCAGUGACCUGGAGGAGGGGGCAGUUGGGGGUGGGGAAGGGAGAGGUGGAGAACGGGAGGGACGCCUGCCAUCCAUUCGCCGUGUGGGGUCAAGGCAGAUGCUGGUCUUCCUUACUGAUGGAAAUACCAUAGGAGAUGUGUCAAGGAUCUAGAUCAUUGCUGACUCCUGUGAUGCACAACAGCAACUAAAGAUUGGUGCAGGUCAGGCAGAGUUUAGGAAACCCUCUGAUCUGUUCAGCACUGGUGAGAAGGCUGGUUAAAGAAAACACCGAAAAAGCAAUGCAGCACUGCAUCUGUUAGCACUUCCUUCCCUCAUAAGAAGUUCAAGGCAGUUGCUGAAGUGUAGUGAUUUCAUAUUAAAUGGAGACAUUCUUGAAAGAAAGUAGGAGGGUUAUCAAAUGUAUGAAAAACUUAGCAGGCCCCAGUUCUUGAGAAUGAAAACAGUUACCAGUGUGACAUAAAAAUCUCCAAAAAAGACAAUUGAAUCCAUCACAUAGUAAGUAAGGCAUUAUAAGAAAAAAGACACCAUAAAUCUUUAUAUUUGGCUCACAAACUGCAACAUUAUUUGGUGGUAAAUCACUGGAGUCAUAUAGUGCAACCCUACCCUUCCCAAGGAAGCCUGCAUCCUAAAAAAAAAAAAAAAAAAAAAAAUUGUGGACAGAGUUUUUAAAAGUACAUCUGCAGUAGUAAUAAAGCUGAUGUGUUGUGACCUUGCUGGUCAGUGAAUUAGAGACAGAAAACAAGCAAUGAAAGCAUCUAUGUAAGCAGUGUUUUAAGGCUUCUCACUGUCACCAUUGGUUAAAGGAUUGUAAGAACAAAUAAGGUUCCACCACUGGACCUUUUCUACAUUUGUGCCAGAAAAGAAGGAUUUACUUUUCCUCACCCUCUAUGUCAUUUGGUCUCAGGUUGCUGGAUGGGGCUAAUGAUGACGAUAUAUUUUUAUGUAUAUAAAUGUAUGUAUGUAACUUUAUAGGAAUGUUUGUGCCUUCACAGCUCUGUACUUUUGCAAUGUAAAUACAUUUUGUCAAAUUAACUUGACAGCUCAUCAAAGCUUCAUGUGGAGUUGAUAAGAUAUGAUUAGAUUGAGAAUACUAUUAUUAAGCAGCUGAUGUUUCCUUUAUUACUUGUUGGCCAGAUGCAUUGACCAUUGCAGGGUGGAAAGGAAUGGGAUAGUAGAGACAGAGAGGAGUGCUCAUUUUCUCCAGCAUAGACUGUAGAAGGGGCUGUAACCUCCAAGACAUGAAAGUGCAUGUUUUGUUUUAUAUCCCAUGUAUGGCAUAAUGGCAUGAGAGGAGAUAAUAAGGUAAAAUGUUGCUUUGUCUUAUUUAAGUUGCUUGUUAUAACACAUGGGGAAUGCAGAGGCAUGCAUACUUAAAACCCUCAUGCCCCAUACCUUGGUGAUAAAAGAGCAACACAUUCACAGUUUCCUUUCCUCCAACCUGCAUCCUUCCAGGGUUUACUUCAGAGUUAGUGUUUCAUCAUGGACUCCAUCAGGAAGCAUCAAUAUUUAUAUGUGAUAUAUAUUAUUAUAUUCUGCAUCUUUUGCUGUGGCAUAAAGACAUACUAUGUAUAUAAUGAAAAGCUUUUUGAGGUCAUGUUAUGAUUGUAUAUAAGUAGAAACAAUUUUACAUAGAAAUGGCAUUUAAUGUAUAUUUUGCAUUUAUAUGAAUGUGAUAUAAAUGAUGUAUAGAAAA